rnacentral:rRNA from 1 species
GUGUCAGCAGCCGCGGUAAGACAGAGGUGGCAAGCGUUGUUCGGAAUUACUGGGCUUAAAGGGCGCGUAGGUGGUGGCAUAAGUCCGAGGUGGAAGACUAAGGCUUAACCUUAGAAUUGCCUUGGAAACUGUAUCACUUGAGUCAGCGAGGGGAUGGCGGAAUUCCAGGUGUAGCGGUGAAAUGCGUAGAUAUCUGGAGGAAGGCCGGUGGCGAAGGCGGCCAUCUGGCGCUGAACUGACACUGAGGCGCGAAAGCGUGGGGAGCAAACAGGAUUAGAUACCCUGGUAGUCCACGCCCUAAACGGUGGGUACUAGGUGUAGGGCUCGCAAGGGUUCUGUGCCGUAGGGAAACCAUUAAGUACCCCGCCUGGGGAGUACGGCCGCAAGGUUGAA